rnacentral:sRNA from 17 species
ACUCAACGAGUAUCUAUUAUAAAGGAUAAGUCUCAGUUGCUAAAGCAAGCCAUAGAAUUCGAAUUUAUUCUUUUUCAGGUGGAUCCUUGAUCAGCUAGUUAGUCCUAAACCUGUAAUAAUGGAGUUU